CAAGAAGCCAGUUUCCUCCCCAUUUCCCAAUCAUGGCCUGGGCUCCUAUCCUUCUGAUCCUCUUCACUCGCUGCACAGGGGCUUUCGCCCAGUUCGUGCUGACUCAGCCACUGCUGUUAUCAGCAUCCCCUGGAGAAACCAUCAACAUCUCCUGCACCAGGAGCAGUGGAAACGUUGCGAGCUUCGCUGUCUCCUGGUAUCAGCAGAAGCCUGGCAGCUCCCCCAAGCCACUGAUAUUUGGCUUCAGCAGCAGAUCCUCUGGAAUCCCAGAGCGAUUCUCCGGUUCCUUUGACGAGUCAUCCAAUUCUGCCACCUUAACCAUCUCCAACCUUCAAGCAGAAGAUGAGGCUGCGUAUUAUUGCUUGUCGUACGACACCACUGAACAGCCGGCCACAUUCGCGAUACAACCGUACACAGAAGCGGGAGAAGAACUUCCUGAGAACGGAUUUUGCACUUUCGAUUAAGGCUUGCUGACUUACAAUUGCAGAAAUAGGAAAUGUUUUAAAGGUGUGUCCUCCCCCCAGCUUACAAAAAGCUUUGUGUUUUUGCUUGGAUCUGAUUGUACCUGAUGAUGCAUAGACGGGCACUUGUCUUUUAGCAGCUGCUGCUGGGAUAUGGAUAAAAUUUAUAGUAAAAGUUGGGAAAUUUCCUAUAAGUGCAUGUGGCAAAAAAAUAAUGAAAGAAUAACCUGUGUGACAGCUACAGUUAUGGAAAUACUGAAUUUUAAAAAUGAAUUAUGGAGCAGAAAUUGCCUGGACCACACACACACACACACACACACACACACACAC